AUGGCUCAGAUUGAACGCUGGCGGCAGGCUUAACACAUGCAAGUCGAGCGGAGAUGAGGUGCUUGCACCUUAUCUUAGCGGCGGACGGGUGAGUAAUGCUUAGGAAUCUGCCUAUUAGUGGGGGACAACAUUCCGAAAGGAAUGCUAAUACCGCAUACGCCCUACGGGGGAAAGCAGGGGAUCUUCGGACCUUGCGCUAAUAGAUGAGCCUAAGUCGGAUUAGCUAGUUGGUGGGGUAAAGGCCUACCAAGGCGACGAUCUGUAGCGGGUCUGAGAGGAUGAUCCGCCACACUGGGACUGAGACACGGCCCAGACUCCUACGGGAGGCAGCAGUGGGGAAUAUUGGACAAUGGGCGGAAGCCUGAUCCAGCCAUGCCGCGUGUGUGAAGAAGGCCUUUUGGUUGUAAAGCACUUUAAGCGAGGAGGAGGCUACUUAGAUUAAUACUCUAGGAUAGUGGACGUUACUCGCAGAAUAAGCACCGGCUAACUCUGUGCCAGCAGCCGCGGUAAUACAGAGGGUGCGAGCGUUAAUCGGAUUUACUGGGCGUAAAGCGUGCGUAGGCGGCUGAUUAAGUCGGAUGUGAAAUCCCUGAGCUUAACUUAGGAAUUGCAUUCGAUACUGGUCAGCUAGAGUAUGGGAGAGGAUGGUAGAAUUCCAGGUGUAGCGGUGAAAUGCGUAGAGAUCUGGAGGAAUACCGAUGGCGAAGGCAGCCAUCUGGCCUAAUACUGACGCUGAGGUACGAAAGCAUGGGGAGCAAACAGGAUUAGAUACCCUGGUAGUCCAUGCCGUAAACGAUGUCUACUAGCCGUUGGGGCCUUUGAGGCUUUAGUGGCGCAGCUAACGCGAUAAGUAGACCGCCUGGGGAGUACGGUCGCAAGACUAAAACUCAAAUGAAUUGACGGGGGCCCGCACAAGCGGUGGAGCAUGUGGUUUAAUUCGAUGCAACGCGAAGAACCUUACCUGGCCUUGACAUACUAGAAACUUUCCAGAGAUGGAUUGGUGCCUUCGGGAAUCUAGAUACAGGUGCUGCAUGGCUGUCGUCAGCUCGUGUCGUGAGAUGUUGGGUUAAGUCCCGCAACGAGCGCAACCCUUUUCCUUAUUUGCCAGCGAGUAAUGUCGGGAACUUUAAGGAUACUGCCAGUGACAAACUGGAGGAAGGCGGGGACGACGUCAAGUCAUCAUGGCCCUUACGGCCAGGGCUACACACGUGCUACAAUGGUCGGUACAAAGGGUUGCUACCUAGCGAUAGGAUGCUAAUCUCAAAAAGCCGAUCGUAGUCCGGAUUGGAGUCUGCAACUCGACUCCAUGAAGUCGGAAUCGCUAGUAAUCGCGGAUCAGAAUGCCGCGGUGAAUACGUUCCCGGGCCUUGUACACACCGCCCGUCACACCAUGGGAGUUUGUUGCACCAGAAGUAGGUAGUCUAACCGCAAGGAGGA
rnacentral:rRNA from 1 species